CUCAUUUUGAACAUUUAUUCGAAAGGGGAUAUAAUUCAAAGGGAUAAAAUGAACAAUCCUUAAAAUGUACAUGAAGAGUUUCUCAAAAUAUUUUUAACAGUAAACUGACGAAAAGUUAAAAUUACUUUAAUAUUUUUCAUAAAAGUAUUCCAUUUAAUUGUAACCACUGAUUUGAGCAAAGUUAAACUUUGCUAAAUAAAAUGUUGAUUAAUUAAGCAACCAUUUAGCGAAUUUAUAACAAAUUAGCAGAUCAGAGACAGACUUAUGAUAAAAAUAUAAACAUUCAUAUAUUAGCGAAUGUGCAAACAUUUAUAUACAUAUACAUUCACACAUAUAUGUACAUAUUUAUAUAUGCGUAGCACUAUGCUUCAGUAAAUGGAAAUACACAUUCGCGCGUAAGUUUUCCAUUUAUAGUAGGUGACACAUGCGAGUACUUAUUGUGCAUGAUAAAUAAAUAGUAAUUAUUAUUUAGUUCGCAUGUUGGCAAUGAAAAGAAAUUAAGAGUAAAACAUAUUUUGCCAUUUUAAACCUUUCCACAUUUGCCAAAUUUGGAUUUCAACGGUGUGCCGACAACUUUUAUUAUCGCUGCAUUGACUGUCUGCCAGUCGUAAGGUCGUUGAUUCCAUAAUUGUCGAGAGAGCGAAAAACGUCACUUGCUACAAAGUGUGUAAAAUCGAAUGGAUGACAGGAAUAUUGAACGUCAUACAUCACCAGUUAGUUGAUUCAAUCAAUUCGUUACCAUAAAAGGUGCUAAUGACCAUUUGGAACAUUAACGAGUUUUGAAUAUAAGUGCAUAGAAAAAAUGGCAAAUUGAUUAAGAAGGCUAAGAACGAUUUUCCAUAAAAGUAACUUAUAUGAUUUUUUUUUAUAUUUGUCUGAUAGCUGUGAGUAUAGGUUUUAUCAACAAAAAAAAAAUUAAAAACAGAAAUUAUAAUAAAUAACAAUGUUAUAUAGUCGGUUGAUAAAUUGGAAAUAAUUCUUAGGACCUCUGCUUGUAAAAUUGAAAUCUUUAAUUAGAUUUGUUGCGUUCGUAAAAUAUAUUAUAAGCUGAAUAGAAAUUCUUAAAUAUUUGAUUUUACAAACAAAUUUAACGCCGCCUAAUUUUGUGCAACAAUUUAAUUUGUAUCUGCCCAACCAAGAAUGAGCUCAGCAACACAUAACAACGUCUGCCAAGAAGGUCAUCGUCACGUAUAUGUGUGAGCGUAUGUAGAAAAGAAAUUCGUAGCUUAAUAUACGAAAAAGCAAGUCGAAAAAAGCGUAUAAUACAAACUGGGUCAUUAUCUAUAAAAGACGUAGUACAGAAAAUUACAAAACAAUAUUCAACACAAUUCAAAUGUUGGUUAUGCUUGUAUAUCACAGGAAUCGUGUAAAUAAAUAUAUACAUAAAUAUAUAUAAGAUUAAAUAUAGCUGCACAACAAUUUGAAUAUGUACCCACAAAAGCAAUGAACAUACAUAUGCAAAGAGCUGACAAAAUCUAACUGAAAGCGAAAGAAUUUUUUAAUUCUAUAAACCCACAAGUAUUAUCAACAAUUAUUUCGAUUAUUUUUAGGAAUAAACUAAUGUUUAUAACACCUACAAUGUUUUGUAAUCUAUAUUAAAAUAUGAAAUACUAUUCAUUCGCAUCUUUCACUCACUCUAACAUUUUCAAUAUCACCUAAAUCAACUGUACUACUGUAUAUCCUCACAUUCAUAUUAGCUUAAGGCCCCAGAUGCCAUAGCUUCUAUUUAAUACAUUGUUCUGUAAUUUAGUUAUAGUUUCUAUAUUUUUGUAAAUAAAUAAAUAAAUAAAUAACACCUACAAUAGUGUCUUUGAUAGAA